rnacentral:pre_miRNA from 1 species
UAUGUACUCCCUCCGUUCGGAAUUACUUGUCGUAGAAAUGGAUGUAUCUAGAAUACAUCUAGAUACAUCCAUUUCUACGACAAGUAAUUCCGAACGGAGGGAGUAUCUA